rnacentral:rRNA from 1 species
UACGUAGGGAGCAAGCGUUGUCCGGAAUCAUUGGGCGUAAAGCGCGCGUAGGUGGCUUCGUAAGUCCGUUGUGAAAGUCAAAGGCUCAACCUUUGAAUGCCGAUGGAUACUGCGGAGCUAGAGUACGGAAGAGGCGAGUGGAAUUCCUGGUGUAGCGGUGGAAUGCGCAGAUAUCAGGAGGAACACCAAUAGCGAAGGCAGCUCGCUGGGACGUUACUGACACUAAGGCGCGAAAAGCGUGGGGAGCGAACGAGG